rnacentral:rRNA from 1 species
CAGUCGACGCUUUGUGGUUCACUGAUUUGAAGAGCUUGCUCAGAUAUGACGAUGGACAUUGCAAAGAGUGGCGAACGGGUGAGUAACACGUGGGAAACCUACCUCUUAGCAGGGGAUAACAUUUGGAAACAGAUGCUAAUACCGUAUAACAAUGACAACCGCAUGGUUGUUAUUUAAAAGAUGGUUCUGCUAUCACUAAGAGAUGGUCCCGCGGUGCAUUAGCUAGUUGGUAAGGUAAUGGCUUACCAAGGCGAUGAUGCAUAGCCGAGUUGAGAGACUGAUCGGCCACAAUGGGACUGAGACACGGCCCAUACUCCUACGGGAGGCAGCAGUAGGGAAUCUUCCACAAUGGGCGAAAGCCUGAUGGAGCAACGCCGCGUGUGUGAUGAAGGGUUUCGGCUCGUAAAACACUGUUGUAAGAGAAGAAUGACAUUGAGAGUAACUGUUCAAUGUGUGACGGUAUCUUACCAGAAAGGAACGGCUAAAUACGUGCCAGCAGCCGCGGUAAUACGUAUGUUCCAAGCGUUAUCCGGAUUUAUUGGGCGUAAAGCGAGCGCAGACGGUUAUUUAAGUCUGAAGUGAAAGCCCUCAGCUCAACUGAGGAAUUGCUUUGGAAACUGGAUGACUUGAGUGCAGUAGAGGAAAGUGGAACUCCAUGUGUAGCGGUGAAAUGCGUAGAUAUAUGGAAGAACACCAGUGGCGAAGGCGGCUUUCUGGACUGUAACUGACGUUGAGGCUCGAAAGUGUGGGUAGCAAACAGGAUUAGAUACCCUGGUAGUCCACACCGUAAACGAUGAGUGCUAGGUGUUUGAGGGUUUCCGCCCUUAAGUGCCGCAGCUAACGCAUUAAGCACUCCGCCUGGGGAGUACGACCGCAAGGUUGAAACUCAAAGGAAUUGACGGGGACCCGCACAAGCGGUGGAGCAUGUGGUUUAAUUCGAAGCAACGCGAAGAACCUUACCAGGUCUUGACAUCCCUUGACAACUCCAGAGAUGGAGCGUUCCCUUCGGGGACAAGGUGACAGGUGGUGCAUGGUUGUCGUCAGCUCGUGUCGUGAGAUGUUGGGUUAAGUCCCGCAACGAGCGCAACCCUUAUUACUAGUUGCCAGCAUUCAGUUGGGCACUCUAGUGAGACUGCCGGUGACAAACCGGAGGAAGGUGGGGAUGACGUCAAAUCAUCAUGCCCCUUAUGACCUGGGCUACACACGUGCUACAAUGGCGUAUACAACGAGUUGCCAACCCGCGAGGGUGAGCUAAUCUCUUAAAGUACGUCUCAGUUCGGAUUGUAGGCUGCAACUCGCCUACAUGAAGUCGGAAUCGCUAGUAAUCGCGGAUCAGCACGCCGCGGUGAAUACGUUCCCGGGUCUUGUACACACCGCCCGUCACACCAUGAGAGUUUGUAACACCCAAAGCCGGUGG